UCCCAGACUCCUACGGGAGGCAGCAGUGGGGAAUAUUGCACAAUGGGGGAAACCCUGAUGCAGCAACGCCGCGUGAAGGAAGACGGUUUUCGGAUUGUAAACUUCUGUUCUUAGUGAAGAAAAAUGACGGUAGCCAAGGAGCAAGCCACGGCUAACUACGUGCCAGCAGCCGCGGUAAUACGUAGGUGGCAAGCGUUGUCCGGAAUUACUGGGUGUAAAGGGAGCGCAGGCGGGAAGCCAAGUCAGCUGUGAAAACUACGGGCUUAACCUGUAGACUGCAGUUGAAACUGGUUUUCUUGAGUGAAGUAGAGGUUGGCGGAAUUCCGAGUGUAGCGGUGAAAUGCGUAGAUAUUCGGAGGAACACCGGUGGCGAAGGCGGCCUUCUGGGCCACGACUGACGCUGAGGCGCGAAAGCUAGGGGAGCGAACAGGAUUAGAUACCCGUGUAC
rnacentral:rRNA from 1 species